rnacentral:sRNA from 1 species
AUGUUAGUUGCCGCUUUGACAUUCUUUCUUGGGAAAGAUGAAGAUGAAAAACAGGACAGUGACUCCGAAUCUGAGGAUGAUGGACCAACAGCAAGAGACCUGCUAGUACAAUAUGCUACAGGGAAGAAAAGUUCCAAAAACAAGAAAAAGUUGGAAAAGGCAAUGAAAGUACUCAAGAAACAAAAAAAGAAGAAAAAACCAGAGGUGUUUAACUUUUCAGCCAUUCACUUGAUUCAUGAUCCCCAAGAUUUUGCGGAAAAACUACUAAAGCAGCUUGAGUGCUGUAAGGAGAGGUUUGAAGUGAAGAUGAUGCUCAUGAACCUCAUCUCCAGAUUGGUGGGAAUUCAUGAGAAGUAACAAAGAUCCUUCUGUUUGCUGCACAAGCAUCUCAUCACCUAGUACCCCCAGAGAUUAUUCAAUCAUUGCUUAUGACUGUGGCAAACAAUUUUGUUACCGACAAGAACUCUGGAGAAGUCAUGACAGUAGGAAUCAAUGCUAUAAAGGAGAUAACAGCUCGAUGUCCUCUGGCCAUGACUGAAGAACUUCUCCAAGACCUGGCUCAGUAUAAAACACACAAGGAUAAGAAUGUAAUGAUGUCUGCUAGAACUUUGAUUCACCUCUUCCGAACACUGAAUCCUCAGAUGCUGCAGAAGAAAUUCCGGGGUAAGCCUACAGAGGCCUCCAUAGAAGCAAGAGUACAAGAAUAUGGAGAAUUAGAUGCUAAAGAUUACAU